rnacentral:lncRNA from 1 species
UGGGACACUGGUCCCUGUCCCCCAGUGAAAGUUCCUGACCUCAAGGAACUGUCAGACCAACUUCCUGCAAGCAGCAGUUCCUGGGUGCCUGAAUGCAAUCUUGAUGCUUCAGUUUUGGGGGGUGAUAAUUCCUCAGGAGCACAACAUACCUAUCAUGAAGAGGCUCCUCCUCAAGGGACAGUGAGUGGUAUGUCUUAUUUUUUUCCAAAUGAUAAUGUCAAAACUAAUGAGAUUCUCCAUCCACAGCAACCCCUUCCCAGAUCCUUGCUGAGUGAAGUGACUAAACUCCAUCUCUCCCACCCAUCUGGUUGGAAGCCGAAAGCCAGAAGCCCCAUGUCCCCAGCAGCAGCAGAUUUUCUCCUGCAGGGCCCGUACUAGUCUAUCAAUGAAUGUCCUCUCCGUUCUUGGAGGUCAGAAGCCAUUUCUUCCAUGGAGCCUUCCCAGAGCCCUCCUGGAGCCCUCCUGACCAUACUAGCUGGUACUAAUUUGUUCUUUUCCCAUGUCCUAUCUCAUUAUACUGGGUUGCUUCUAAGGUGAUUGCCACAUUCUGUUUCAUAUUAACUACCUGUGACUAGCUCCCUUCUUUUAUAUAAUUUUGAUAAACAGUUAUUAUUGAGCAUUUGUGGGCAGUGAGCUAGGCAUGGGGAGGAGCUG